rnacentral:miRNA from 1 species
CGCGCGUUUUUCGACUGUGG